rnacentral:piRNA from 1 species
CCAAACUGAGGGUCGGGCUGCUAUUUCUC